rnacentral:rRNA from 1 species
CCUACGGGUGGCAGCAGUGGGGAAUAUUGCACAAUGGGGGAAACCCUGAUGCAGCGACGCCGCGUGAGUGAAGAAGUAAUUCGUUAUGUAAAGCUCUAUCAGCAGGGGAGAAAAUGCCGGUACCUGAGUACGAAGCCCCGGCUCACUACGUGCCACCAGCCGCGGUAAUACGUAGGGGGCCAGCGUUAUCCGGCUUUACUGGGCGUAAAGGGAGCGUAGACGGCAGUGCAAGUCUGGAGUGAAGGGCGGGGGGUCAACCCCCGGACUGCUCUGGAAACUGUACGGCUGGAGUGCAGGAGAGGUAAGUGGAAUGCGUAGUGUAGCGGUGAAAUGCGUAGAUAUUAGGAGGAACACCAGUGGCGAAGGCGGCUUACUGGACUGUAACUGACGUUGAGGCUCGAAAGCGUGGGGAGCAAACAGGAUUAGAUACCCGAGUAGUC